rnacentral:rRNA from 1 species
UACGUAGGGUGCAAGCGUUGUCCGGAAUUAUUGGGCGUAAAGAGCUCGUAGGCGGUCUGUCGCGUCUGCUGUGAAAACUCAGGGCUUAACCCUGAGCUUGCAGUGGGUACGGGCAGACUAGAGUGCGGUAGGGGGAGACUGGAAUUCCUGGUGUAGCGGUGAAAUGCGCAGAUAUCAGGAGGGAACACCGGUGGCCGAAGGCGGGUCUCUGGGCCGUAACUGACGCUGGAGGA